ACCACCGUGUCCUGAUGAGGGGUCUUGAAGCUGGAUAGGUUCUUGUUUUCAGUCCUUUACCUGUGAUUGAAUUCAGUAAUGACAAAAAUCCGCUAAGACAAACCUCGUAAGAUGUUGGUGGUGUUUCUCCCUCUGUUUGCUUUCCAUCACCCCCACAUCUGAAGUUUCACUGUCAGCUCGCUGACGUGGGAGCCUCACACGGGUUGGCGCUGAGCAGGCCAAGGACAAUCACCUCCUAGCACAUUGAAGCUAGGUUUGCUUUGACCCUCUGAGGUAUGUUAUGACUUAUUUAGUCUAUACUAAGAUUUUAAGGUAUGUUAUGUGUUACUUAACAUGAGGCAAGGUCACUGCAUAGCAGAGCGGAGGAGUCACGAUAGUGUGGAUCAGCGUUACCUAUGUGAGCUUCGGGGUUUUGCAAGGACUGCGUUGGAGGUGUUGUUGGCGAAGGGGAUGUUGAAAGUGCACUUGGCUCCUCAGCACCUGUUGCCAGUGCUUCUCUUUUGCCUGCAAUCAUGACACCAGUCCCCGGUGUGGCAGGCAGCUCCUCUCCUUUUCACCUCCAGAGUUUACACCAGGAAGCUGACAGCCUGUGUCCUCAGCUCUCAAGUCAGGGUGCUGAAGGGCAACGUGGUCACGGCAAACAGGAGCACCAAGAGCAGUAAAGCUGCAUCAGUGCAGGCUUUAACACAUGGUAGCAGGUAGAUUAAAGGCCAUUCAGGAGCCCCAGGGACGUACACCGGUUGUUAGCGUAGGCAUAACCCAUAUUUGCACGCCCGUAUCUUGUGUACUUGGGAGAUUACAGCCUCCACAGGCAUGUGACUACAGUCUGGAGAGGUUCUCCUGAUUUAUCAAGAGAACACUUCAUGUUUCAGAGGGCGAAGAAGGCCUUUGGUUUCCCCUGUAAAUCCCAGUCUUUGUUCCACCUUUCAGCAUGCACUGCACUCGGAGCACAGCCAAAGCCAUAAAUCCUCCAGCAGGAGGUUCAGGUGGACUUCCCUGGAAAGCCUUCAUCUGAGGAUCUCACUGUAUUUAAGCGUUGUCCAUUAACGAGGCUCACAGCAGAGCAGUGAUCUUAGCAGCCUUCUCCAGCAUUACUUGGUAGAGUAGCAGAGCAGGGAACUAAAAAGCUGAGUCUGCAAAAUGCCCCUUUCCACUGUUGAACUAUAUAAUGCUCAAACUGUACUCUGACCACUGAGCUAUAAACGUUCCCUGCCUAUUUAAUGUUUUUGUUAGCACCGAGUCAGCCUUCAGCUCAUUUUGUGCAUCACGUAAGGCCUGGUGAGUGAGUCCACUCCAGUGAGGUCAGGCACAAGGGAUGCCUCUGAGCCUUCACCAGUCUGUGGUCGUCUCCUUUCCCCUGCCGCCCUGCAGGACAACGUUAAUUUCUACUUUGAGGCCUAUCGUGCUGAAGAUAACAUAACCCAGACCACAUCUAUGUAAAUCUACCGGAUUAUGUUGCCUGCUUGAGGUCAGGAAUCCUCUGAAACAAUGUUCCAGUUGGAUGGGUAAAAGUCAGGAGUACAAAUAGAUUAUGCGUCUCGUAUUUCCUCUAGUGAAGGGAAGGGAGCCCAAGUGCCAGUCAAACACGUUGCUGCAACAGUACACCUCGGGGAAAACUGCUCCUCUUCCCCUGACAGCUCUUCUGUGAAGAGUCAUUGCUGCAAUUUAUUGAGUGCUUGGGUCUUCCAGGAGCUGUGCAAGCGCAAACAGUAAGCGACCUUUCUUGCAAAGCAGCUCUUCCAGUGCAAGACUGGGCGCGUAGCCAAAAAGGAAACAUUUGUGAAGAUACCCUGCUCAUGCUGCUAUUUGCUGUUUUAUGCAGAUUCGGCAUGAAAACAACAUGUGAUUUGAUGAGUCAGGUUGCAUACAAUAUAUGCAGGUGUCUGAUGCAAUAUUUAUUCAGUGGUAGGUCACGGGGAAGGAGAGUGAUAGCUGCAGAUAAUAUACAGGGACUUUACAUUAUGCUUAACCCAACUGCGUGUACAGGUGGUUUAGUUUAAUAUAAAACCCAAGCAGCAUUGCCGGACGUAUUGCGAUGUGAUACUAAAAAGGAGUUGCAGUGAGGACUGUUUUCAGUAACCUGUUUCUACCAAGUGGAGGGUGAACGCCUCGUUUGAUAGAGUGAUUAAUGAUACUCAGCGCGACUGCUCAGCCGGCAGGGGUGGAGGCUUUGCUAAUUGGAUCUGGAAAUUCCUUUCCUCGUGCUUAAGGAUGAUGCAAACUUUCACAGCCAACUGGAGACCUGUCCACCCUGCAGCUGGAUGCCAAUAAACACAGCUCAAGUUAAUAACCCUUGUGUCAGGGGAAGAGAUCCAAAAGAGAAUCUGGGCCUCGUUAUUGUUCGUAUGUGGCAUUAGUAGAGGCACUGUAAUAUGCCAUAGGAGUCCCUUUUUGUUAAGGGGUGGGAGUUUUUUUAAUUGCUUGUCUGAGUAAACGUGUUAAAGACCCCAAGCUCUAUUUGUGACCGGGGCAUGUUGAACAUGAAGCCGUGGUUGUUGAACACAAAGCCACAACCACGUCUGCAUCCCUUUCCCCCUCUCUCUCUUCUUGCAAAGUCUGACCAGAUGCGUUCAAAGUAUUUGCAUUCUGGAAGGCACAGCUGAACCUUCCUCAGCGCCCAAAGCUACUGGUGACCAGCCUCGUGUGCUGGUUCUUCACUGUCAGUAGAUGUAUCUUGGUGUGUUCCUACUUUAUUUUAUGCUUCAGCAGGUUUCUGGCUGAGUUUCUGCCUUUAGGUAUCCAGUCUGAUGUUAGGACACUUACUGGUGUUUGCUGAUGUCAUAUCACUUGUUUUUGUUUUGUUUUUUUAAGCUGCUUGAAGUCCUCAGGAACUGAAAGAGCGUUAUCAGCUUCCUUCACACUGUGACGAACGGGACAGUUACAGGCCUUCCUUCUUACUGCACUUCAGCAGUGUUUGUUUUGCUUAUGCAAAUCGAAAUAUGCAUAGUUAAUGGCAUGUUAAUAAACUUUUCCCUUUGCUGCUGCUUCUAAAAUCAAAUCUGGACCAAGGUGGGUGGCUUCAUAGUGAAAGCAAUCUAACUUCCUCUGUUAAUCUGUUUUCUGAUGCAGCGUGGAUUGUGCCAGGUGCUAGCUCCUUGCCCUCUUUCCCCUCCUUAAGAACUUUGCCCCCCAUCUUAGCAACAGAGGAGCCUGGAAAAUGAUGAUGUUGGCACGGCUGUGCCCAAAGGUCAGCUCUGCCCAGGAAUGUGGCACGAGAUUAGCGAGAUGUGCAGAGAGGCAUUGAAAAUACGAGCCUUAAAGGUGCACGCAAUAUAGAGGCAGGGUGCAGAAAGGACUGAGGGAGAGGUGGGAAAAGUAAGUGUUGCAUGGGGAAGGAGAGGGUUGAGAGGCAAAAGGCACAGCUGGGUGGGAAACCCAGGAGCUCUCAAAGUCUUGAUGUGAGAGGAAAAAAAGCUCAAAGCAGAGGCAAACAGCCCGGUAUGGAAAUGCCCAUCCAAGCAAGGUUGUCUUUGGGUUGGUGAUGCUUUUUUUUCAGUCUGUUAUAAUGAAAAUAAUCUUCUGGGAAAAACCCCGUGGGUUCAGAGCUCACAGCACUGAGCUGGGCAAGGAGCAGCACCUCUCCACGGAGCGCCCCGGUGCUGCCAGUCCUCCUUGGCACAGCGCUGGUCCCCCGCCAGAUUGGCCUCUUUGCAACGCUGAGGAAUAAAAUAAUAACUCAUGAAGUAAAAAUAAUACAAGAUACAGAACACUAAAAAGGGAUUUUCCUCUUUCUGCAAUGGAGAAAUAAAUGGCUGACCACCAGAAGGGGUUCUUCUCUCGUAUUUGAGUUUUCAGUCUUGAGGCUUUUCUCCGAACAACCCAGCAGGGGAAAAAAAAAAAUCGCUGUGUUGUAUCUGCCCAUACAAAGAGGAUGGAAAACAACAACUGGUCGGAGCAACUGGGGCUUGGAGCCAGGAUCCUGCAUCAGUGUUUAAACAAAAUGUGAGAAGAGCGUGCUGUGAAUGGCUUGUUGCUGGACCUAGUGUGAUGAAUAAUUAUGGAGCAGCUGAGCAGUGCUAGCCAGAGGCUCAAAGAAUCUGUCAAGCUGCUAAGAUGAUGUUGGAGACCCCGUGUGCAGCAGCUGUUGAGCUGAGAAGAAAGAAGCUCACUCUUUGAAAAGGAAAGCUGCCCUGGUGGGCCGCAGUGGUAAGCCACUGCCUGCUGCGCUCUGCCGGUGCUGUCACUCUCUGGGGGCAAAGCAAGCAUCCUCUUCCUACCAUGCACUCUGGACUUUUCUGAAAUGGGUUUUGGCCAUAAAAGCCAUGGCAAUGCUCUGCUACAAAAUUCAUGCUGGCUGUGGUGCUGGUGUGCUGCCUUGUAUGUGAACUUUAAAUCCGGAAAUCCUAGGGACUACACCACUCUUCUCAGAAUUGUUUUUGAUUCACCGCAGCAGUUCCACAAUUACUUGGCUCAUCUCUUUUGAGUUCAGGUCUUAAGAAUGCAACUUGAGACACCUCUUUAGCAGAUGCCCGCUUCAGCCUUAGCCCACAGCUCAAGUCCGUGACUGUUUUUCCCUUCCUGGUAGCCUCGGGGACUGCCAGCCACCCCCCCGGGGACUGCCAGCUGCUCUGCCAGGAAGGCAGUGAUGCUGUGCACCUCCUGCAGCCUCUGCGCAGCAGUAAAUGUCUGCUUUUCCACAGAUACUUGAUGAUGAUGCAAAGACACUUAAAGAUAUUUGCUAAACACUUAUGAAUCUAUUUAUGAUUAGCGAAUAAUUAAAUAAAUCACAGCAAUCAUAAAGGCACAUGGCCAGUUAGUUAGAUUUGCAUAUAUAGCACUUUUCAAACAGAGCAGAGGAGCUCAAUUCAUCUAAUAGAAGCCUAAAUUCACUGUAUCUUAAUUUGAUUUACCUUUGACAUAACAUUUAAAUAGUAGCAACAUCUAUAAUCUUGUGCUCCUCAAUAAGGCUUCAUUAAAAACUCACUGCCAGAUCUAAUCCACGGUUAGCAUACAAAGUCUUAUCUCUAGGUUCCUGCUUCAAUGCCUUUGAGAACAUGCUUAAUUUAAUCUGAACAAAGACACUGCCAUCAUAAGCCUCCAGUCUGAUUUUUCCAAUCUAGAAUAUCUUUGUUAUUAAAUUUGGUGCAAGCCAUGGUGCAUACAAUGGAUACAGCAAAUUAUUUUAAAGCACUCUUCAAGGAAAAUUCUACUGCUUGUUAGACAUCUUUUAUAUCUGUGGGACGUAAGAAAUGUCACUUUUUUUUAAUGUCAUACAAAAAUGCAGUAUUAGUCUUAACAACUUAACUACUGCUUGGAAGUGCCAAGUUUUAAUGUAAUAAAUAUUUUUUAACCAUUUGAGAAAGAAUGUUGUUUUUAAAUGUAUUAACCAU